GGAUGCGAUCAUACCAGCACAAACGUACCGGAUCCCAUCAGAACUCCGAACUUAAGCGUGCGGCCUAGUGUAACAGGCAUGUCGGGACCU
rnacentral:rRNA from 1 species